UAAUAUUGUGUGUAUUCAUUAUUUUGUUUUAUAGAGGAUUCGCCGGAAGAGACCAACGCGAUCCCUUUAACCCAAUCGCAGUCUGAUUUUCCGUUUACAUCUCUUGCUCACUGGUCUCCCUUAACGCUGGAGGGUCCGUCAACGGCCAUUCCAGGCAGAGGAGAAGGCUUGAUUGCGCCAAAGACUCCAGACAUCGAAUCCUUGCUCCGUGGGGAAAUCAUCGAAAACGACGGUGAAUGUCCAACAGGCACCCGCUGUAAGUUUUUCUCGUUUUCUGUAAGCUUUUUAAGAUUCUCAGGAGCUUUAAAGAGCUCCUCUCAUUCCAAUGUCUUUCGCUCAAA